rnacentral:rRNA from 1 species
AGCUCCACGAGCAUAUAUAUCCGUUGUUGCAGUUAAAAAGUUCGUAGUCGAUUUUCGUGGAAGUCUGACGCAUAUAGCACUAGAGUGCUGUGUGUGUCGAUUCCUCUGUUUCUCGAUAAUGCGUGUCGGUGAUUAAUUUCAUCGGCAAUGUGUUGCGAGUCAUUUACCGUGAAGAAAGCAAAGCGAUUCAAGCAGGCCACUGGCCGUUGAAUGUUUCAGCAUGGGAUAAUGUAACACGACCCUGAGUCGUUUCGUUGGUUCAGACGAUGGGUAAUGAAAAAUAGGAGUGGUUUGGGGCAUUUGUACUACGACGUCAGCGGUGAAAUGCGAGGACCGUCGUAAGACAAACAACUGCGAAGGCAUCUCGCCAGGGACGCUUUCAUUG